GACGAACGCUGGCGGCGUGCUUAACACAUGCAAGUCGAACGCUGAAGCCCUUUCGGGGGUGGAUGAGUGGCGAACGGGUGAGUAACACGUGGGUAAUCUGCCCUGUACUUCGGGAUAAGCCUUGGAAACGGGGUCUAAUACCGGAUAGGACCUGUCCUCGCAUGGGGGUGGGUGGAAAGUUCCGGCGGUAUGGGAUGAGCCCGCGGCCUAUCAGCUUGUUGGUGGGGUAGUGGCCUACCAAGGCGACGACGGGUAGCCGGCCUGAGAGGGUGACCGGUCACACUGGGACUGAGGCACGGCCAAGACUCCUACGGGAGGGAGCGGUGGGGAAUCUUGCGCAAUGGGCGAAAGCCUGACGCAGCAACGCCGCGUGGGGGAUGACGGCCUUCGGGUUGUAAACCUCUUUCGACAUCGACGAAGGGGCCCUGUUGUGGGGUUUUGACGGUAGGUGUAGAAGAAGCACCGGCUAACUACGUGCCAGCCGCCGCCGUAA
rnacentral:rRNA from 1 species